GGCCAGCCGCCGCGGUAAUACGGAGGGGGUUAGCGUUGUUCGGAAUUACUGGGCGCAAAGCGUACGUAGGCGGACUGAUCAGUCAGAGGUGAAAUCCCAGGGCUCAACCCUGGAACUGCCUUUGAUACUGUCAGUCUUGAGUUCGAGAGAGGUGAGUGGAAUUCCAAGUGUAGAGGUGAAAUUCGUAGAUAUUUGGAGGAACACCAGUGGCGAAGGCGGCUCACUGGCUCGAUACUGACGCUCAGUGAGCGAAAGCGUGGGGAGCAAACAGGAUUAGAUA
rnacentral:rRNA from 1 species